rnacentral:lncRNA from 1 species
GCCUGGGCAUGCGGAACCUCCCGCGCCCGAGAACACUUCCCCGGCCCGGUACCAAGGGAAGGAGGGACGUCAGUAGAGCCCCCGAAGGCCCACUAGAGGGGAUGGAAACUAAGGGCCGAUGGCUGCGAGUCCAUGGUCAGAACUGGACGAUGUCUUCAAAUAAAACGGCGGCAGCGCGACCUCUCGACCUUUGCCCCUGCGCAAUUGUACCCACGACGACGCCCCCCUCCCCGCGCCCCCGCUCCAGGCCCAGUUCUCUCCUUGCCCUAAUCCAAAAUGGCCGUUGCGGCUACAGGCGCCGGCCUUGAAAACCAGCCGCGCAUGCUCCGGCCCCGCCAGGUGAGGCGGCGCAGCUCAGAGCUUCCGCCCGGGUUUGCGGGAACAAAGCAGCGCCCUGCGGAAGGCAGCCCUCGUGAACUCAGAAGUUAGUUUUCGUCUCUGGACCUUUUUAUAAUCGGACUUCAGCCCAUCACUGUCUCGUUUUGUCCUCAGAAACGGCGACAGCAGCCUCUUCCCAAUGUUGAGAGCAAAAAGUGUGAACCCAGAAAUUCCGAGACAGAUCUCAAUUACUUGCCAAGGUUGAGGACGCGCGCGUGACAGCCUCAGGAAGUCCUCACGACAUGUGCCCAAGGUGGUCUGGGCAUAGCUUAGUUUUAUACAUUUUAUGGAGACAUGAGACAUCAAUAAAUGUAUGUAAGAAGUACAUUGGUUCUGUUUGGAAAGGCGGGGCAACUUGAAGCAAAGGCAGGAAGACGUGAAGCAGGAAGGGGGCUUCCAAGAAACAGAAGAGACAAGUGAACAUUUAUUUUUAUGUCUUUCUUCCUAUGUGUAUUUCAAGUCUUUUUCAAAACAAGGCCCCAGGACUCUCCAGAUUCAAUUAUGUCCUUGGGCUUGGUCGACUGCUGCAGGAGUCUUAAGGAGCCUUGUGCAAAUGCUAGAGUGACUCAUUUACCAACAUUAAACCCUAGGAUAGAUGCAACAGAGAAGUACUACUUCCUCCAUGGAAUGUGCUGAUUUCAGGCGACGUGGCACCCAAUGUAGAAAACGCUGGAAUUUUUCCUUGGAACUGGACUGUGAUGAGAGGUGCUUGCCAUGAACAUAAGCUACUGUCUUUUUUUUCUUUUUUUGAGACGGACUUUCACUUUUUUUGCCCAGGCUGGAGUGUAAUGGCGCGAUCUUGGCUCACCGCAACCUCCGCCUCCCAGGUUUGAGUGAUUCUCCUACCUUAGCCUCCUGAGUAGCUGGGAUUACAGGCGUGCGCCACCAUUCCCAGCUAAUUUUUGUAUUUUUAGUAGACACAGUGUUUCUCCAUGUUGGUCAGGCUGGUCUCAAACUCCUGACCUCAGGUGAUACGCCCGCCUCAGCCUCCCAAAGUGUUGGGAUUACUGGCGUGAGGCAUCGUGCCCAGCAAGCUACUGUCUUUUCUUUGACCCUUUCCAGUUUUUGAAGAUAAAGCAGGAAAUAAUCUUCUCUGAAAGUACUUGAUAAAAAUUCCCAAAACAACAAAAACACAUGCUUCCACUUCAUUGAUAAAAAUUUACUGCGGUUUGGCACCUGGGUCUAGUUCAGCUGGCAGAUGAGCUGAUUGAUGCGUUAACCCCCACAGCCAGGUGUUCCUGGCCUACCCCGCUCUGCCCAUGAUGGUACAGAGGAAAAAUGCAAGGUCUGUGCGCCUUGGGACUCUCCUCGUUGCCUGGAUUCUGAGUUGACCUGAUCUGUCACAUGGCCACUUUGUCAGAACUCAUCUG